rnacentral:rRNA from 1 species
CCUGGUUGAUCUUGCCAGUAGUCAUAUGCUUGUCUCACAGAUUAAGCCAUGCAAGUGAAAGUACAUAUGUAAAUAAUAUAUUGAAACUGCGAACGGCUCAUUAAAACAGUUAUAAUCUACUUGAUGUUUUUAAUAUAAGGAUAACUACGGAAAAUCUGUAGCUAAUACUUGUGAAAAUACCUUUUGAUAUAUACAUAUGUAUGUAUCAUUAAGGUAUGUAUUUGUUAGAUAUAAGAAUAAAAUAAAUAUAAUUGAAUUAUAACAAAGAAGAAACACAUAAAAUAUGUGUAUUAUCAAUCGAGUAUCUGACCUAUCAGCUUUUGAUGUUAGGGUAUUGACCUAACAUGGCUAUGACGGGUAACGGGGAAUUAGAGUUCGAUUCCGGAGAGGGAGCCUGAGAAAUAGCUACCACAUCUAAGGAAGGCAGCAGGCGCGUAAAUUACCCAAUUCUAAAAAAGAGAGGUAGUGACAAGAAAUAACAAUACAAUAUCGAAAAAUGAUUUUGUAAUUGGAAUGAUAGGAAUUUACAAGGUUCCUAGAGAAACAAUUGGAGGGCAAGUCUGGUGCCAGCAGCCGCGGUAAUUCCAGCUCCAAUAGCAUAUAUUAAAAUUGUUGCAGUUAAAACGUUCGUAGUUGAAUAUUAAAGAAUCCGAUGUUUCAUUUAAACUGGUUUGGGAAAACCAAAUAUAUUAUAUAUUUUGCUUUGUUCAAAAUAAGGUUUUCUAAUAAAUUAUGUUUUUAUCAGAUAUGACAGAAUCUUUUUUAAAAUCUCUUCAAUAUGCUUUUAUUGCUUUUGAGAGGUUUUGUUACUUUGAGUAAAAUUAAGUGUUCAUAACAGACGGGUAGUCAUGAUUGAGUUCAUUGUGUUUGAAUACUACAGCAUGGAAUAACAAAUAUGAAUAAGCUAAUUAUUUUUUUUUUUCAUUAUUUUUUUUGAUAUUCUUAUUAGCUUAGUUACGAUUAAUAGGAGUAGCUUUGGGGGCAUUCGUAUUCAGAUGUCAGAGGUGAAAUUCUAAGAUUUUCUGGAGACGGACUACUGCGAAAGCAUUUGCCUAAUCUAUUUCCAUUAAUCAAGAACGAAAGUUAAGGGAGUGAAGACGAUCAGAUACCGUCGUAAUCUUAACCAUAAACUAUACCGACUAGGUGUUGGAUGAAUAUAAAAAAUAUAUAAAUAUGUAGCAUUUCUUAGGGAAUGUUGAUUUUAUAUUAGAAUUGCUUCCUUCAGUACCUUAUGAGAAAUCAAAGUCUUUGGGUUCUGGGGCGAGUAUUCGCGCAAGCGAGAAAGUUAAAAGAAUUGACGGAAGGGCACCACCAGGCGUGGAGCUUGCGGCUUAAUUUGACUCAACACGGGAAAACUCACUAGUUUAAGACAAGAGUAGGAUUGACAGAUUAAUAGCUCUUUCUUGAUUUCUUGGAUGGUGAUGCAUGGCCGUUUUUAGUUCGUGAAUAUGAUUUGUCUGGUUAAUUCCGAUAACGAACGAGAUCUUAACCUGCUAAUUAGCGGUAAGUACACUAUAUUUUUAUUUGAAAUUGAAUAUAGGUAAUUAUACAUGUUUAUUCAGUGUUCAAAUUAGGAUAUUUUUAUAUUAAAAUAUUCUUUUCCCUGUUCUACUAUAAUAAUUUGUUUUUUUUACUCUAUUUCUCUCUUCUUUUAAGAAUGUACUUGUUUGAUUAAAUAAAGCUUCUUAGAGGAACAGUGUGUAUCUAACACAAGGAAGUUUAAGGCAACAACAGGUCUGUGAUGUCCUUAGAUAAACUAGGCUGCACGCGUGCUACAAUGAUAUAUAUAACAAGUUGUUAAAAAUGUACUUAUAAAUAAGUGUGUACAGUUUUUCCUGUACUGAAAAGUAUAGGUAAUCUUUAUCAGUAUAUAUCGUAAUUGGGAUAGAUUAUUGCAAUUAUUAAUCUUGAACGAGGAAUGCCUAGUAAGCAUGAUUCAUUAGAUUGUGCUGACUACGUCCCUGCCCUUUGUACACACCGCCCGUCGCUCCUACCGAUUGAAAGAUAUGAUGAAUUGUUUGGAUAUGAAUUAAAAUAAUGAAAUUUUAUAUUUCUGAUUUUUUCUAGAAGAACUGUAAAUCCUAUCUUUUAAAGGAAGGAGAAGUCGUAACAAGGUUUCCGUAGGUGAACCUGCGGAAG